rnacentral:rRNA from 1 species
AGAGUUUGAUCCUGGCUCAGGACGAACGCUGGCGGCGUGCUUAACACAUGCAAGUCGAACGGAAAGGCCCUGCUUUUGUGGGGUGCUCGAGUGGCGAACGGGUGAGUAACACGUGAGUAACCUGCCCUUGACUUUGGGAUAACUUCAGGAAACUGGGGCUAAUACCGGAUAGGAGCUCCUGCUGCAUGGUGGGGGUUGGAAAGUUUCGGCGGUUGGGGAUGGACUCGCGGCUUAUCAGCUUGUUGGUGGGGUAGUGGCUUACCAAGGCUUUGACGGGUAGCCGGCCUGAGAGGGUGACCGGCCACAUUGGGACUGAGAUACGGCCCAGACUCCUACGGGAGGCAGCAGUGGGGAAUAUUGCACAAUGGGCGGAAGCCUGAUGCAGCAACGCCGCGUGCGGGAUGACGGCCUUCGGGUUGUAAACCGCUUUCGCCUGUGACGAAGCGUGAGUGACGGUAAUGGGUAAAGAAGCACCGGCUAACUACGUGCCAGCAGCCGCGGUGAUACGUAGGGUGCGAGCGUUGUCCGGAUUUAUUGGGCGUAAAGGGCUCGUAGGUGGUUGAUCGCGUCGGAAGUGUAAUCUUGGGGCUUAACCCUGAGCGUGCUUUCGAUACGGGUUGACUUGAGGAAGGUAGGGGAGAAUGGAAUUCCUGGUGGAGCGGUGGAAUGCGCAGAUAUCAGGAGGAACACCAGUGGCGAAGGCGGUUCUCUGGGCCUUUCCUGACGCUGAGGAGCGAAAGCGUGGGGAGCGAACAGGCUUAGAUACCCUGGUAGUCCACGCUGUAAACGGUGGGUACUAGGUGUGGGGUCCAUUCCACGGGUUCCGUGCCGUAGCUAACGCUUUAAGUACCCCGCCUGGGGAGUACGGCCGCAAGGCUAAAACUCAAAGGAAUUGACGGGGCCCCGCACAAGCGGCGGAGCAUGCGGAUUAAUUCGAUGCAACGCGUAGAACCUUACCUGGGUUUGACAUGGAUCGGGAGUGCUC